rnacentral:rRNA from 1 species
GAUGAACGCUGGCGGCGUGCUUAACACAUGCAAGUCGAACGGACAGGCUCCUGCUUUCAGGGGUUCUCGAGUGGCGCACGCGUGUGUAACACGCGGGUGUUCUGCCCCUCACUUCCUGAUAAGACUUGGAAACUGCGUCUAAUACCCCAUAUGACGAUGGUUUGCAUAUCGUUGUGGAAAGUUAUUCGGUCUGGGAUGCGCUCGUGGCCUAUUCGCUUGUUGGUGGGGUAAUUGCCUACCAAGCCGGCGACGGGGAGCCGGCAUGAGAGGGGGUACGGGGACAAUGGGACUGAGAGACGGCGCAGAAGCCUACGGGAGGCAGUAGGGGAGAGUAUUGCGGAAUGGGGGCAAGCCUGAUGCAGAGACGCUGCGUGGGGGAUGACGGCCUACGAGGGAUAAACACCUUUCGAUAGGGACGAAGCGCAAGUGACGGUACCUGGAGAAGAAGCACCGGCUAACUACGUG